AUUGAACGCUGGCGGCAGGCCUAACACAUGCAAGUCGAGCGGAUGAAGGGAGCUUGCUCCUGGAUUCAGCGGCGGACGGGUGAGUAAUGCCUAGGAAUCUGCCUGGUAGUGGGGGAUAACGUCCGGAAACGGGCGCUAAUACCGCAUACGGCCUGAGGGAGAAAGUGGGGGAUCUUCGGACCUCACGCUAUCAGAUGAGCCUAGGUCGGAUUAGCUAGUUGGUGGGGUAAAGGCCUACCAAGGCGACGAUCCGUAACUGGUCUGAGAGGAUGAUCAGUCACACUGGAACUGAGACACGGUCCCGACUCCUACGGGAGGCAGCAGUGGGGAAUAUUGGACAAUGGGCGAAAGCCUGAUCCAGCCAUGCCGCGUGUGUGAAGAAGGUCUUCGGAUUGUAAAGCACUUUAAGUUGGGAGGAAGGGCAGUAAGUUAAUACCUUGCUGUUUUGACGUUACCAACAGAAUAAGCACCGGCUAACUUCGUG
rnacentral:rRNA from 1 species